GGAGAAGUGAUUGACAGGACAGAGGGACGACUGAAUCCACAGUGGAGACCUCGCCUCCUAAGGAAGGAGGGAGGAGCACACAGGUGAAGGGAGAAAAGAAGUGAAACGCUUUCAGCACCCACGUUUCAGGUCAAAGUGACAUUUUAUUUCUUCGCCCCCACUGCCAAACAGGGUAGGGAUUAUUUCUCGCAUGUUACAGAUGAGGAACUGAAUUCAGGCAGGUGCCCAAGGCUACACGGUGCUUCCUGGCGGAAUGAGGAAUCUAGCUGGAGUCUGGCUUCCUCAAAACCCCUGGCCCCUGUAAACCUGCUGCCUCCAGCCCAGCUCAAAUCAUUGAUAUUCUGAUUGCAGCUCAUCAUAAACGGUAUUUACUCAAGUCCCACUGCUAAGGAUUAUUGAAGGAGAGGAAAAGAUCUUUUGAAAAUACCCUGUAACUCACAUUUUACCUGCCAGAUGGAACAGCCACAUUCCUGCAAAAAGAUCUCUUUGGUGUCUGGCUAACUAGAAGACCACUGGAUUCUGGCAUCGGAUUCUGCCUUGCAAAUUUCUGGCAACAGGCACUGGUCACCUAAGCCUGUUACCUGAGAGCCAUCUUCACUCUACCAAUGAGCGGGUCACCAAGUUCGGCUGAAUAGUCUGCCUGGCUUAUCUUCUGCCUGCAACUCACCAGCCCCAUGUCAGCAUCACGCAGGUGGCCAGUUUUCUUUUACAACUUGGUGGACUCAAAAAGAUGCACAACCUAAAAGUUGAGAGUCAUGUGUUUAUUCAGUGGACAAAACUGAAGCCUUAAACCCAGGAGGCAGCAUCUCAAGCAACCCCAAAACGCCGCUCUGAGGAGGCGAGAGGGAGCCAGGGUGUACAGGGAAGACAGUGGGAACAGAAGAUUCACUGUUAAUAGAGGAAAACCAGAUCUCUCAAGUUAAGGAAUUUAGUGAUUUUCUCUAAAUGGGAAGAUGCAACGUUCUGGGCUCACUGAGAUCUCUCCUUUGCUGUGCACCUCGGGUCUCUGGGGCCAGGGUCCUGUGUUCUCACAUCCUGGGGAGUGGCUGCACUCUGAUGGCUGCUGGACAGCAGGUGUCUAUGCUUCCUUCCUGCCUCCCUCAGGGCUCCCCUGGAGGUGGCUGCCAUCGCUGAUGACUGAGACAUCUUUGUUUACGGAUAAGGCAGGCGCUAUUUUAUGUCUCAGGUACCAAGUGGGACCCCCAAGUCUGGCUAACCCUGACUUCACGUGUUCUCAGGGUGUGGGUUACAAUCUUACGGGUCUUGGGUGUCUAAGCCUCACCCAACAGCAUCACAGGGUGGAGCGUUGCGGAGGGGAUGGCAGAGAGAAAAGGGACCAAGGAACAUUCCAUCAGCUUCCACCUGUGCUGCACUCAAGCUCUU
rnacentral:lncRNA from 1 species